rnacentral:rRNA from 1 species
GAUGAACGCUGGCGGCGUGCUUAACACAUGCAAGUCGAACGGAACUACUCCAAUGAGAGUCUUCGGAAAGGAUUUGGUUUAGUUUAGUGGCGGACGGGUGAGUAACGCGUGGGUAACCUGCCCUAUACAGGGGGAUAACAGUUGGAAACGACUGUUAAUACCGCAUAAGCGCACAGGAGCGCAAGCUCCGGUGUGAAAAACUCCGGUGGUAUAGGAUGGACCCGCGUCUGAUUAGCUGGUUGGCGGGGUAACGGCCCACCAAGGCGACGAUCAGUAGCCGGCCUGAGAGGGUGAACGGCCACAUUGGGACUGAGACACGGCCCAAACUCCUACGGGAGGCAGCAGUGGGGAAUAUUGCACAAUGGGGGAAACCCUGAUGCAGCGACGCCGCGUGAGCGAAGAAGUAUCUCGGUAUGUAAAGCUCUAUCAGCAGGGAAGAAAAUGACGGUACCUGACUAAGAAGCCCCGGCUAACUACGUG